UACCAGCACCCCGAGUGGUCGGGACGAUUAUUGGGCCUAAAGCAUCCGUAGCCGGUUCUACAAGUCUUCCGUUAAAUCCAACUGCUUAACAGAUGGGCUGCGGAGGAUACUAUGGAGCUAGGAGGCGGGAGAGGCAAGCGGUACUUAGUGGGUAGGGGUAAAAUCCGUUGAUCCAUUGAAGACCACCAGUGGCGAAGGCGGCUUGCCAGAACGCACUCGACGGUGAGGGAUGAAAGCUGGGGGAGCAAACCGGG
rnacentral:rRNA from 1 species